rnacentral:rRNA from 1 species
CUACGGGGGGCUGCAGUGGGGAAUAUUGCACAAUGGGCACAAGCCUGAUGCAGCCAUGCCGCGUGUAUGAAGAAGGCCUUCGGGUUGUAAAGUACUUUCAGCGGGGAGGAAGGGAGUAAAGUUAAUACCUUUGCUCAUUGACGUUACCCGCAGAAGAAGCACCGGCUAACUCCGUGCCAGCAGCCGCGGUAAUACGGAGGGUGCAAGCGUUAAUCGGAAUUACUGGGCGUAAAGCGCGCGCAGGCGGUUUGUUAAGUCAGAUGUGAAAUCCCCGGGCUCAACCUGGGAACUGCAUCUGAUACUGGCAAGCUUGAGUCUCGUAGAGGGGGGUAGAAUUCCAGGUGUAGCGGUGAAAUGCGUAGAGAUCUGGAGGAAUACCGGUGGCGAAGGCGGCCCCCUGGACGAAGACUGACGCUCAGGUGCGAAAGCGUGGGGAGCAAACAGGAUUAGAUACCCCUGUAGUC